rnacentral:lncRNA from 1 species
GCUCUGAUACCACAUGAUAGACUCCUAGAUGAGGAUCUACUCCCAAGAACACACUUUGUUGGUUUUGAACAUGAAGGAUGCAGCGGAAUGGAAGAAGAGCGAGAUCGAAGGUGGAAGAUGAACGGACAAACGGAUGAACGGUUGCAGCGGAUUGAAGGUGGAACGUUUUGUACUUCCAAGAGAGGUGGAAAUCUCUUAGACUACGAGCUUGAAUACAACUUAGAUAUUACACACGAAGAAGGAAACAAGUUGAGAAGAUAUUACGCACUUCUCGGAUCAAACAAGUAAAAGAGAGAUUUUUGAUAAAAUGUUUGAUGGUUUGCAAAUGAGAGCUACAAGGGGAAUAUAAAGAAGAGGAGGAUGAAGGAGAAGAGAGGAGAAGGAGAACAUGCACGAGCAUGCACAAGUCCACACUCAUGCAAGCUCAUGCAAAAUGUCUAGGAAAUUACAAAGGCAUUAAAUGUAAAGUUUGAACAUAAAAAUAAGAUAAUGGGCCAAGGCAAAGUGAUGGGCCUUGGACCACGAAUUGGGCUGAUAAAGGGAGGCUUGAAAGUGUUACUUAGGCCUCAUUAAAAACCUUGUCAAGAAAACCCAUUGGGACAAAACUUGACAAGGGAAAAAGAGUGCGUAAGGAACACUUAUCCCUUUACCGAGCACUUUGGGCCGUGAUCAUCAUAAGGGAGAUUUGGGCCACGUCUUCUUGUUUCUUGUCUAGCUCCCUAAGUAUUCCAUUGAUUGCUUGGUUGAACCUUUUGGAUCUUGAUCGAGUUAGAGGACCCGCCGGGACGAUUAGUGCUUCCUCCGGUACAAGCUGCUCCUCGGCUACAAGCUGCUUUUCGGCUACAAGCUGCUCCUCGGGUUCGUGUGGUGUGGUUGUGUUGGCCAUGGUCUCAUCAUCCUCUCCCACUUGAAAAGGAUUUGACCUCAAAUCCGAAUUAUCUGCAAAAUAAGGAAGAAGAUCAGAAACGUUGAAGCUAUUACUCACGGUGUACUUACCUUGGAGAUCGAGUUGGUAGGCGUUGUUGUUGUUCCGCUUGAGCACUUUGAACGGUCCAUCGAUUCUUGGCAUUAGUUUGGACGAUCGUUCUUCCGGGAAACGUUCCUUCCUAAGAUGAACCCACACUUGAUCGCCUUCGUUGAAGAUGACUUCCCUUCGCCCUUUGUUCGCAUACUUCUCGUAAAGCUUCGUUCGGGCUUCAAGAUUUUCCUUAGCCUUCUUGUGAACCUGGUUUACUAAAUUAGCUUUCUUCUUGCCAUCUAAACUUGAUAUUUCACUCAAAGGUAAAGGCAUUAGAUCCAAAGGAGAAGUGGGCUUGAACCCGUAAACGAUUUCAAAAGGAGAAAACUUAGUCGCGGAAUGCACCGAAUGAUUAUAAGAAAAUUCAACAUGCGGUAAGCAAUCUUCCCAAGUCUUAAGGUUAUUUUUAAUGAGCACACGCAAUAAUGUAGACAAUGUUCGAUUCACAACUUCAGUUUGACCAUCGGAUUGCGGAUGACAUGUAGUAGAGAAAAGCAAUCUAGUUCCUAAUUUCGACCACAAAGUUUUCCAAAAAUAACUAAGGAACUUAGUAUCACGAUCGGAAACUAUGGUCUUAGGUAUUCCAUGUAAACGAACAACUUCUCUAAAGAACAAGCUAGCAACAUGAGAUGCAUCAUCAGUUUUAUGACAUGGAAUGAAAUGCGCCAUUUUAGAAAAGCGAUCAACAACAACAAAGAUAGAAUCCUUACCCGUCCUAGUCCUAGGAAAUCCCACCACAAAGUCCAUAGAUAUAUCAUUCCAAGGAUGCAAAGGAAUAGGUAAAGGGGUAUACAAACCGUGGGGUUGAACCUUAGCUUUCGAUUGCUUACAAGUCGCGCACCGUUCACAUAGUCGUUCGACAUCUCUCUUCAUGUGCGGCCAAUGGAAGUGUUCUUGCAUUACCUUGUACGUUUUAGCAACUCCAAAGUGUCCCAUUAAGCCACCUCCAUGAGCUUCCCUUAGAAAUAAUUCUCGCAAAGAAGAGUGAGGCACACAAAGUCGAUUUUCAAAGAACAAAUAGCCAUCAUGCCGAUAAUAUUUUCCAAAGGCAAACUUUUCACAAGAUUGGAAUAUUUUGCUAAAAUCAGAAUCAUUAGCAUACAAGUCCUUUAUUUGUUCAAAUCCCAACAAUCUUGCAUCGAAAGAAGUAAGCAAAACAUACCUUCGAGAUAAUGCGUCGGCUACAACAUUAUCUUUACCUUUUUUGUACUUAAUCACGUAUGGAAAGGUUUCUAUGAAUUCGACCCACCGUGCAUGACGUUUGUUGAGCUCUUGUUGACCUUUUAAGUGCUUGAGAGACUCGUGGUCCGUAUGAAUGACGAACUCUUUUGGCCAUAAAUAGUGUUGCCACGUUUGUAGUGCUCGGACCAAUGCGUAAAGCUCUUUGUCGUAGGUCGGAUAGUUGAGUGUUGCUCCUCCUAACUUCUCACUAAAGAACGCUAUGGGCUUAUGAUCCUGCAUCAAAACAGCUCCAAUACCUAACCCAGAGGCAUCACACUCAAUCUCAAAAGUUUUCAUAAAAUUAGGAAGAAUUAAAACGGGAGAAUUAGUAAGCUUCUCUUUCAAGGCUUGGAAGGCGUCUUCUUGGGCAGCUUCCCAUUUAAAUCCAAUGUCCUUCUUGAUAACUUCCGUAAGUGGCGCGGCAAUGGUGCUAAAAUCCUUGACAAAUCGUCGGUAAAAUCCCGCUAAGCCGUGGAAGCUCCUUACCUCACUUACAUUCUUAGGACUUGGCCAUUCUCGAAUCGCCUUGACCUUUUCUUCGUCAACCUUGAUUCCAUCUGCACUCACAACAAAGCCUAGGAAAACAAGAUUAUCCGUGCAAAAGGUGCACUUCUUUAAGUUCGCAUAAAGCUUUUCCUUUUGAAGCAAGUCCAAAACGAGUUUAAGAUGCAUGACAUGAUCUUCUAAGUUCUUACUAUAAACCAAGAUGUCAUCAAAAUAAACAACAACAAAUACUCCAAUAUGCUUCCUAAGGACAUGAUUCAUCAAUCUCAUGAAAGUGCUAGGUGCAUUUGUUAACCCAAACGGCAUAACUAACCAUUCAUACAAUCCUUGUUUAGUUUUAAAAGCCGUUUUCCAUUCAUCACCUUCCUUCAUCCGAAUUUGAUGAUAACCACUUUUAAGAUCAAUGUUUGAAAAGAUGCUAGAACCAUGCAACUCAUCGAGCAUAUCAUCUAAACGAGGGAUAGGGUGGCGAUACUUAACCGUAAUAUUGUUGAUGGCUCGGCAGUCCACGCACAUACGCCAACUCCCAUCUUUCUUUGGUACUAGCAAAACCGGAACGUCACAAGGACUCAUGCUUUGGCGAAUAUGUCCUUUGUCCAUAAGCUCGUUCACUUGUCUCUCGAGUUCUUUUGUUUUGGUUGGGUUGGUGCGAUAAGCUGGUCGGUUUGGUAAAGCGGCUCCUAGAACAAAGUCGAUUUGAUGCUCGAUCCCUCGGAUGGGUGGUAAACCUAUGGGAUUAUCUUCCGGAAACACGUCCUUAAACUCUUGCAAAACCAACUUGAUCUUACUCAGUAGCACCGGUUUGGGAUUAGCUGAACAAGUAAGAGUUUCUUUGAAAACAAAGAGUAAACUAUUUUUAUGACCUACCUUGUUCUUACCCUUGGUAUCGAUCGGUUCGGUUGGUUUGAUGGCCCGUUUCUCCAUACUUAGCUGAUCUAGAUAGAUUUCGUGCGGAGUCAUCGGAAUAAGAGUCGUUUUUCGGCCAUUGUGUUCAAAGGUGUGUCGGUUGGUGAAGCCAUUGUGGAGAACUUGUCGAUCCGAUUGGCAUGGGCGUCCAAGAAGAAUGUGACUAGCAUCCAUUGGUAGUAUAUCACACACGAUCUCGUCUUGAUACUUGCCGAUUGACAAUGGAACCUUGACUUGUUCGUUGACGGACAUCUCACCAUUUUUGUUAAGCCAUUGGAGCGAAUAUGGUCUCGGGUGUUUAAGCACUUCUAAACCAAGCUUCUCAACCAUGCUUCUACUCGCAACAUUGGUACAGCUUCCUCCGUCAAUAAUCAAGCUACAUACCUUACCUUUGACUAAACAUCUUGUGUGAAACAAGUUUUCCCUUUGCGCUUGCUCUUCGGCCUUAGUUAGAACACUCAAUGAUCUUCUCGCAACAAGCAACUCUCCUUUAGUUGGGGCUUCAAAACUCUCUUCCAUUGAAUCGUUUUCCAAACGUUCAUCUUUGGAUUCUACUUCACCAUUGUCUCUAAGGACCAUGAUCUUUUUGUUAGAACAAUCGCUCGCGUAGUGCCCAAGUCCUUGACACUUAAAGCAUCGAAUAUCUCUAGCCCUUGUGGUCACUUCCUUACCCUUUCCUUUCGGGUCUGGAUCUAGCGGUUUCGGCUAGACGAAUGGCUUGUAGUCCUUUUGGUAGACGGAUUUCUCUUCCUUUUGAUAACUUGGUUUUUCCGAGCUGUAUUUGGUCUUGGUGGUGCCGUAGCUUAAUCGGGAAUUUCUUCUUUUGAUUUGCUGUUCGAACAUGACCGCUUUGUGAAGCAUCUCAUCAAGUUCCACAUAGUGUUGAGUUUCUAGGCGAUCUUGGAUUUCUCGGUUGAGGCCUCCCAUGAAUCGGGACAUGACGACUUCUCCAUCUUCUUGAAGAUCGGCUCUUAGCAUAAGCGUUUCCAUUUCUUUAAAGUACUCUUCGACCGUCUUGCUUCCUUGGACCAAAUUCCUCAGCCGCUGAUGUAGUUCACGAUGGUAAUAACUUGGCACAUAUCUCUUUCGCAUGAUGGUUUUCAACUGGUUCCAUGUUUCAAUCGGAUAGUCUCCGGCACGUCUUCGGCUGGUAACAAGUUGAUCCCACCAACUUAGCGCAUAGUCGUAGAACUCCGUAGCCACAACUUUAACCUUGUUGGCCUUGGUACACUCUUGACAAUUAAAGACUAACUCAAUUUUCUGCUCCCACUCCAAGUAAGUGUCCGGAUUGUUGGUUCCGUGAAAGGCGGGAAUCUUGAGUUUUAUCUUUCCCAAAGGAUCUCUAGGCGGGUGUCUUUCUCGCUGCCGCCUACGUUGACUAUUGUGAGAAGAGGCAUGACUAUAGUAAUUUCUUGCUUCAUCAUAUUGCCUUUUUUCCUCUUGUUGCUGCCUUUGACGUUGAUUUGGUUCCGGGUUGAUUUGAUUCAAGUGUAGAGCACCAAGCUUCUCGUCGAUCAUUGUUGCCAUUGCAGCUGUGACGGAUUUCAAGAUUUUUCUCUCCAAGCUAGAGGUGGAUGACUCUUCGUCUUCAGAUGUCACCAUUGUACCUGAAAAAUCGAAAAUCUAACAAGUAAACAGUGCAGAAACAGACAAACCUAAACGGAUCUGGAAAAAUAUCAAAACGAUUCCAAAAAUUCGAAAAUCAAUUUUAAAAAAUACUAGACUCGUUACUGGUUCGAACUCAAUUGGUUUCACAAUUUUUCAACGAGCCAAUUAUUUUUAAAUAUUAAAACAAGAUGCGUUUAAAACAAGAUGCGUUCAGAAAUCUAGAAAAAAGGUGAAAUCGAGAAAAAAAAAGAAAAUUUGGGGUUGGAACAUCAAAACCUGAUAACAACCUGGCUCUGAUACCACAUGAUAGACUCCUAGAUGAGGAUCUACUCCCAAGAACACACUUUGUUGGUUUUGAACAUGAAGGAUGCAGCGGAAUGGAAGAAGAGCGAGAUCGAAGGUGGAAGAUGAACGGACAAACGGAUGAACGGUUGCAGCGGAUUGAAGGUGGAACGUUUUGUACUUCCAAGAGAGGUGGAAAUCUCUUAGACU